UGGGAACACUGAUAAACCCAGAGGCGAAAUGAAAGUGAAAGGCCGGCCUCGAGCCGGUCGCAGGGAAGAUGCGCGGGCGUCGUCAGACGCCCCGCCGCAUUCCCGAGGCGUUUCGAGAAAGCCCCCGUGCGAUUAUCGAGACGCACUGAGAGCGUACACGCUGGGACCCGAAAGAUGGUGAACUAUGCCUGGUCAGGUCGAAGUCAGGGGAAACCCUGAUGGAGGACCGAAGCGAUUCUGACGUGCAAAUCGAUCGUCCGAACUGGGUAUAGGGGCGAAAGACUAAUCGAACUAUCUAAUAGCUGGUUCCAUCCGAAGUUUCCCUCAGGAUAGCUGGCGCUCGAGAAACAUGACGGUUUUCGGACCGCCAUUCGCACAGUCUCAUCCGGUAAAGCGAAUGAUUAGAGGCAUUGGGGCCGAAAUGGCCUCAACCUAUUCUCAAACUUUAAAUGGGUGAGAUCUCCUUCUUGCUCGAAGAUGAAGUAGGAGCUCGGAUGGGAGUGCCAAGUGGGCCAAUUUUGGUAAGCAGAACUGGCGCUGUGGGAUGAACCAAACGUCGAGUUAAGGCGCCCAAUGAACGCUCAUCGGAUACCAUAAAAGGCGUUGGUCGCUCAGGACAGCAGGACGGUGGCCAUGGAAGUCGGA
rnacentral:rRNA from 1 species